AAAUUCUGUUUGUGUCUUUAAUGAUUGGGAUUAGACUCUGAAUAUACUGUAUGUGUAUGUGAAAAUGUUUUUAUACUGUACUUCACCAAAAAUACAAACACCAGCAACGAAGUCCUGAGUGUGACGAGUAGUUACAAAAUGUUUUAUUCUUCUCUUUUUAGGAAAGUAAAUUAAAUCAGAUCUGUUCUGUUAAUUUGUAUGAAUUCUUUUUUUUUACAAUCCUAGGUGUUUAUGCAACAGAUUCUUGUGCAAUUUAGUUUUAGCUGAGAUCUGAGCAGCUGAUUACUCUAAACACGAUCCUUUCCUUUCCUAUCACUAUCCUGUUCCCAGGGUGGUUUUGUUGCUGGCUACACAAUUGCAAUUUCUGUUUCUAAUUUGCUAAUACUGGCACUGACAUUGAUACUAACAACACAUCAGUAUUGUUUUUUUUAGGUGGAGCAAGUACAAGUAAAAGUAUAUGAAUACUAUGAAUUACUAUUCAAUGCUGUGAAACAAUUUACGUCUUGGGGUCCUAAAUAUUUCAGAGGACUAAAAUUAAAAACUUUUACCAGGACUGGUCCAGCUGGUCUCAAAAUCGAGCCAUGCCAGGAUUCCCCAGGGUUAACUUGUGCUUGUCUGUUAUUACAGGAGAAAGCAUAGCUACCAGUAACAGCCCACAAGAUGGGGCACAUCCAGGACCACUGGAGGAGCGUGGGGAUUGUUAAGAAACGCCUGCGCAUGACAGGGAGGGAUGAAUCUGCAGAGGAGAGGGAUAACGUCUCUUUUCCAUCUCUGAACAGUACCCUCCAUUUCACAGGUCAGAUCAGCAUCUCCCACACAUCUGCACUGAUUUUCUUUCUCACUUUCUUCCACCACUUUCUUUCAAGGUCAGGUUUUUUUCCUUCUUCUAGAGCUUUUUUACUGAUGUCCUGAGGCAGAAGCCUUUCACUGCUGUAGUCAAAUCAGUGGUGACCAAACUGAUCACAGAACGUUUCCCCACUCUUUUGUGACCUUUAGAUGAGCUGUCCCCUGCCCUUAAAGGGGACAAAUGGUCCAGAGCACCCUGGGCUGCAAUGCUUCUCUAGGCCGGAGCUGGCCCUCACCCAGAGCCUUCAGUUUCUGGCCUCUGACAACUGGUAGGCAUAAAGCAGUACAAUCAGCAUCCACCUAUUCCGUUUUCUAUGAAUACAAUUCUGACUAGUGAAAAUACAGACCUUGUUGCCCAUAGCUCUAUACAGUUAGACCUCUUUCCUUGUCCUGGUUGAUAUAUUUCUUUCCGUUCACUGAAUUCAGGGAGAGGAAGGUUGACGGACUGACCUUCAUAAGGCGUCUGUCCCAACACCACCCCGCCAUCCUGAUCAGCAGACUGCACAAUGUUUCCCAGGCGCUCGUGCAGGAGGUGUGAUCUCUCCAAAAUAUUAAUUGUUCAUUUGUAUGAUUGCUUUUCACCGUUUUUGUAUCCAUUCUGAUCCAUUUAUAGAGAACGGUUCAAGAGAGGGGCACAGACGAGGCUCUGCAGUGCUAACAGUGGUUUGCCUUUCUCCAGGUGAAGAACUUGCGAUCAGUUGUGUCUAGGAUGGCAGUGAUGUGUCUGGGAGACAUGUUCACCUACCUGCAGCAAGGGAUGGACCUGGAACUGGGCAACACAGUUAAGGUGCUGCUGCACAAAGCCGGAGAAUCCAACAUCUUCAUCUGACAAGGUGUAGACAGCACACUGGACUACAUGGUGCAGAGCUGUACUCCUGCUCGUGCAAUCAACGCGCUGCUGAAUGGAGGUCUGAGACACUUUGGACAGCGGUUGCUGUCUUCCCUGAAGCACCGACUUUGAGCAAAAGACUUCCAAGUGGAAGAA